UACGUAGGGUCCGAGCGUUGUCCGGAAUUAUUGGGCGUAAAGAGCUCGUAGGCGGUUUGUCGCGUCUGCUGUGAAAUCCCGAGGCUCAACCUCGGGCCUGCAGUGGGUACGGGCAGACUUGAGUGGUGUAGGGGAGACUGGAAUUCCUGGUGUAGCGGUGGAAUGCGCAGAUAUCAGGAGGAACACCGAUGGCGAAGGCAGGUCUCUGGGCACUUACUGACGCUGAGGAGCGAGAGCGUGGGGAGCGAACAGG
rnacentral:rRNA from 1 species